rnacentral:rRNA from 1 species
AUUGAACGCUGGCGGCAUGCUUUACACAUGCAAGUCGAACGGCAGCGCGGUCUUCGGCCGGGCUUCGAGUGGCGAACGGGUGAGUAAUGCAUCGGAACGUGCCCAUUUGUUUGGUAUAGCCCGGCGAAAGCCGGAUUAAUACCGCAUACGACCUGAGGGUGAAAGCGGGGGACCGAAAGACCUCGCGCUCUUGGAGCGUCCGAUGUCGGAUUAGCUAGUUGGUGGGGUAAAGGCUUACCAAGGCGACGAUCCGUAGCUGGUCUGAGAGGACGACCAGCCACACUGGAACUGAGACACGGCCCAGACUCCUACGGGAGGCAGCAGUGGGGAAUGUUGGACAAUGGGGGCAACCCUGAUCCAGCCAUGCCGCGUGCGGGAAGAAGGCCUUCGGGUUGUAAACCGCUUUUGUUCGGGAAGAAAUGCUCUGGGCUAAUACCCCGGGGGGAUGACGGUACCGGAAGAAUAAGCACCGGCUAACUACGUG